CGUAGGGUGCGAGCGUUAAUCGGAAUUACUGGGCGUAAAGCGUGCGCAGGCGGCUCCUUAAGUCAGAUGUGAAAUCCCCGGGCUUAACCUGGGAACUGCGUUUGAAACUGGGGAGCUCGAGUGUGGAAGAGGGGGGUGGAAUUCCAGGUGUAGCAGUGAAAUGCGUAGAGAUCUGGAGGAACACCGAUGGCGAAGGCAGCCCCCUGGGCUAACACUGACGCUCAUGCACGAAAGCGUGGGGAGCAAACAGGAUUAGAUACCCUGGUAGUCCACGCCCUAAACGAUGUCAACUGGUUGUCGGGGAAGCAAUUCCUUGGUAACGAAGCUAACGCGUGAAGUUGACCGCCUGGGGAGUACGGCCGCAAGGUUA
rnacentral:rRNA from 1 species